AUUUCAUCUUCUCAGGUAAAGGAGUUCUUUAAGAAUAGGCUUUCAGAAACUGAGAGAAACUACAUUAACACUUUUUUGCAUUAUAGAGAUGCUAUCUUAGUCACUGUGCUAAUUGAAAAAGCACACUUAAUCCAUCACAAAACUGAGAGAAGAGGUAUCCACAGGAACAUUAUCAGUCAGCUGCCACUGACUUUGGAAUCCUGGAAAAGAAGACAAAACCUUAAUUUACUGAAUAAAGACAGUGAUCUGUUGAAGGUUAUUGCUGAGAUGGUAAUGAACUGCUACUGUUUGUACAUUGUGAUACCUGGGCUGCUUAGCCACAAAUGUUGUCAGAACAUGAAGAUACUAUAUGUAAUCCAUUUUUGGCUAUGUUUACUUCAGCAAUCAAUUGGCAAAGCAUUUCUGAUUUUUCAAACUGGGCUCUUAAUCAAACAACUAUAGGAGUAUUUAGGUAAUUCUAAGUUUGAAUAAACUUCAUGUUUCUGUCUUGGAAACCCA
rnacentral:lncRNA from 1 species